GCCCCCGCCCCGCUCCCCCAGCGGGCCCGCGCUCGCCACCUCCUCCAGGCAGGCCGCCGAGCCCCCCGGGGGGCCGCGCGCUGUGCGGACGCGGAGACGCAUCCCGGGAAGACGCGUGAGCUGGAGACCUUCCCGUUUCUUCCUUAUCGGAGACGGGGUUACUUGGAAUGACAGGUUGUCCUUAGUCGUCCUCCUGACUCGGUGGUGACCUCGGGGGACGUUGGUGGAGCGUAGAGCGGGGCCUGCACUGUUUGGGGCCUGACCCAAAUCCAGCGUUGUUUGGCUAACUCCUUAAGGAAAGAAACAAAGAGGAGAAAAAGCUGAACCCAGUCUGCUCCGGGAUGGGUCCUGGACUUUCCGGGACUUUCCCUCCUUGUGACACUAGAGGUCACAGCCGGGGUGGUGAUUUGAAUGAUUCGCAUUCCGUGAGACAGGCCACGCGGGAGCAACAUGACCUAUGAAUGCGCAGGUGCUCGUGCAUCCCCCACCCGAGGUGCUUGUUACUACAACCCCAUUGCCACCCGAGUUUCCUGAGAACACCUGGGGAGCCAGCCUGAGCACACAGUCCUUCCUGCUGCCCUCCCUGGGCUGUAGCAGAAGCCCCAGGAAACCUCUACGGGCCUCGUGGAUUUCUGCUGUAGGCGAUGCCGGGGCCUGCUGGGGGCCAGAAGCACUUCAGAAACCCAGGAAGCGUUUGGUGUGAAUAUGUGGAAGAGGAGCCCCGAUCCGGGGAAGACGGACCCCUACACUAUCCCUAACAGCAUCCCUGUCAGGCAGAUAGCGUCGGGAUUCAGAUAACUGCUUGGAGGUGUUGAGAAAAGCAGCCAGUGGAUCAAGUUAAGGAGCUGCUAUGGAAAUUUUUACAUUCCUGAUAUUUCAUAAUUACAUUCCUGGUACUUCCUGGUACUCAUAAUUACAUUCCUGGUACUUCCCGUCAGUACCUCUAAAGGCUCCACACCCAGCCUGGAGCCCAUUGGCCCAUUGUGGGGUCAAACCCAGGACCCUGAGAUCCAGACAAGAGUCUGAUGCUGGAACAGCUGAGCCCCCCAGGCACCCCUGCUUCUACUUUCUUAGAAGUCUCUCCCUGAGCUGGUGGUAGAGCAUUCCUAUCCACUUCAGGUUUGGUGCUGCCUGAUUCUCAUCACUUUUUGCUCAAAUACACUCUUAAAAUGUUUACUAUGCCUCAUGUAUCUUUUAUCCAGCAUGAUGGGAUAUUACAUGUUUUAUCCAUCUGAAAUGUAGAACUAUUAUGUCUGUCUCCUUUACUACCCCUUGCAUUUUGGUGCUUUCUGGAUUUCAACGAACUCACAACAGCUCUAUUUAGCUCUGAUUUUCAGUGUUUUUUUUUUUUUUUUUUUAAGAUUUUAUUUAUUUACUCAUGAGAGACACAGAGAGGCAGAGACACAGGCAGAGGGAGAAGCAGGCUCCCUGUGUGGAGCCCAAUGCGAGACCAGAUCCCAGGACCCCGGGAUCACGACCUGAGCCAAAAGCAGACUCUCAGCCCAACCGUUGAGCCAUCCAGGUGUCCCUGAUUUUCAGUUUGAUCCUUCUCAGCUCCUGUACCUUGUUGCUCUCUACUUGUCUGCACAAAGCCAGCACGUUGUGAGGAUGUUGUCCUCUUGGACACUUAGUCUAAAUCACUAGAAACUUAUUCUAACAUGUUUAUUUGAAAUCCGGCCCUUCCCAGCUUAAUUACAAUUUCAUUGAGUACAAACUUACUACAAAUAAAACUUACCUGCCCACAGGAAAGCUCAGUCUAGUUCCAGACUAAUGCUGUGUAAGUAGUGAAAUGCAGUUACAUAUAAUAUUUUAUUUAAAAUACUGUGUGUGGGGCACCUGGGUUGCUCAGUGGUUGAGUGUCUGCCUUUGGCUCAGGUUGUGAUCCCAGAAUCCUGGGAUUGAGUCUUGCAUCAGGCCUGCUUCUCCCUCUGCCUGUGUCUCUGCCUCUCUCUCUCUGUGUCUCUCAUGAAUAAAUAAAUCAAUCUUAAAAAUAAAAUAAUAAAAUACUGUGUGUGGAUAUUGAAAAGCCAAAUAUUGGACAGUAUUUGAAGUCAUCUUACAUGGUGAGAAGCUCCAAAAAGGCAGAAAGCUGGGGCCUUACUUUUUAUUCCAAAUGACCUUUGUUAUGAAUACCUUUUGCUCUGUGUAAUCUGAUAUGAGACUAUUUUGCGACCAGUUAUUUUGAAUAGGAUUUGAUAAUUUUGGAUAAAUAUAAAGCUAUUGGUCUGAAACUACCACUUUUGUUAUUAUUAAUCAUUAAUUUCUAAAGUGUCAAAACAAAAGGAAAAGCAUUUUAAAUAUCAGCACUGAAAAGCACAUGCUCAAAGAAUAAAAAUCCUUAAACUAA